AGUUCACUUCAAUGUAAGUUUGUUGUGUGUUUUGCUUGUUUUGGUCUGUUUGUUUUUUUGGUCGGCCUCCCUGAUUAAACUGAACGUUUGUUAUAUACACAAAAAGCUAAGAUUAUAAAUCAUAAAAAAAACAACGAAA
rnacentral:ribozyme from 1 species